UAUAAAUUCAUUUGAUCAAAGUGGGGGCAUUGGUUAAUAGAUGAAAAUAGAUGUAAAUUUUUAAGUAGGGAUUAGGUUUAAAGGGGUAGUUUUUAUAGAUUCAGUAUUUAAAAUUAAUAGAAUUAUUGGGGGGUAAUUUAAGUUAAUUUAUGAAAUAUUGAGGAGAAUAAUGAUGUGCCAGCAUUCGCGGUUAUUCAUCAUCCUUAAAUUUUUAUUAUUAAGGGGGAACAUAAUUAUGAUUUUUAUAUUAUUUUAAUUGGGGUGGAAUAAAUUAAUAUAAAUUUUUAAUUAAAAGUUUCUUUAAGCUUAAUUUUAAACUAGGAUUAGAUACCCUAUUAUUUAAGUUGAUUAGUUAAUUUUUAUUAUUUUAGUUACAUAAGAAAUUAAAUUGAUUUGGCGGUUUAUUAAACUUUUUGGAGGAAUCUGUGUAUUAAAUUGAUAAUCCACGAUUUUUUUUACCUUGGUUUUCUUGUAUAUCUCUAUAAUGAAUAUUUUUAGAGAAAAAUUUUCUUUUUUAAAUUUUGUUAUUUUAAUGUAGGUCAAGGUGCAGUUAUAUUAAGGGGUUUCAUGGAUUACAAAAAUUUUUGUUUUUGAAUUUUUUACUUUAAAAUGAUUGAAAUUGGAUUCAAAAGUAAUUUUUUUUUUUUGAAAUUUUGAAUAAUGCUCUGAUUUAUGUACAUAUCGCCCGUCAUUCCCAUUAAGUGGGACAAGUCGUAACAAAGUAGAUGUAUUGGAAAAUGUAUCUAG
rnacentral:ncRNA from 1 species